CGGCCCGGGUAGCUCAGCCUCGUUAGAGCGCCGGACUGUGGAUCCGGAGGCCCCGGGUUCAAACACGCGGCGGGCCCGCCA
rnacentral:tRNA from 1 species